GGAGAUGGCAGAGAUCACGUGAUAGUGUUCUCUUUCUUCCUGUGGCCCAAUUCUGAAAUCCCCCAGACUCGGGGCCUCCCAGUGCUAGGCAGCUGGCAGUUUCUCCAGCACUGACUUGGCAUCUUACCCCCUUCACACAAAGCAGAUAUUGUUGAAGGAAGCAACCAUCCUGUGGUCUCUUGGCAUCACCCCCUGCCCGGCAUGCAUGUGGGAGAAGGAGCGUCUCACUGAGAAGAGAUUCUAUCUUAUUGUAAGUCUCUUUGGAGAGAGGACGCCCAGGAGAAUGCCUUUGCUCAGAGGCUGAAACCUGCUUGCUCAG
rnacentral:lncRNA from 1 species